rnacentral:rRNA from 1 species
AUUGAACGCUGGCGGUAUGCUUAAGACAUGCAAGUCGGACGGAGUACUUCGGUACUCAGUGGCGGACGGGUGAGUAACACGUGGGAAUCUGCCCAGUAGUGGGGGACAGCCCGGAGAAAUCCGGAUUAAUACCGCAUACGCCUACCGGGGAAAGGACAGCAAUAGCGCUAUUGGAUGAGCCCGCGUUAGAUUAGCUGGUUGGUGGGGUAAAGGACCGACCAAGGCGACGAUCUAUAGCUGGUCUGAGAGGAUGGCCAGCCACAUUGGGACUGAGACACGGCCCAGACUCCUACGGGAGGCAGCAGUCGGGAAUAUUGGACAAUGGGCGCAAGCCUGAUCCAGCAAUACCGCGUGUGUGAAGAAGGCCUGCGGGUUGUAAAGCACUUUC